GUUCUACUUAAAAAGUAUUUUUUUUUACUCAUUUAUAUCUAAUCUAUUUUUUCUAGCUUGGCUAUUUGGGAUAGCCGAGCCAUUCCCCUUUCUUUAUGAUACCAAUCCAAGCCAAAACAAUAGAAACAAAUCUAUUCAAUGAGAAAAAAAAGGAGAGACAGGGAUUCGAACCCUCGAUAGUUCUUUGUUCAAAACUAUAUUGGUUUUCAAGACCGGGGCUAUCAACCACUUAGCCAUCUCUCCAAAAGAUAAUUUUUAUUUUAUUCCUCUAAAUAGAACAUGGCCAUAGGGGUGGAUACCACUACUAUCUGUAGAAAGAUCUCAGGUGUGAAUCUACCGAUGAAUCUAUCUAUCUGCAUAUAUAUNGGGCUAUCAACUACUUAGCCAUCUCUUCGAAAGACAAUUUUUAUUUAUUCAUCCGAAUAGAACAUGGCCAUAGGGGUGGAUACCACUACUAUUUGUAGAAAGAUCUUAGGUGUGAAUCUACCGAUGGAUCCAUCUAUCCGUAUAUAUAUAAUCCAACAUGUCCAAUUUUGAAAUAUAAAAAACAAAAUUCCAUUUCCCCUGACUCCAUGUAUGAAUAAAGUGGUCAAAGGGGUAGUAAUAAGUCAUAUAGAAUCAAUUGAUUCAUGGUAAACUUAAAUCCCUCUAUCAGCAUUGGUCAUCUAACUGCU
rnacentral:lncRNA from 1 species